UUAAAUUGAAGAGUUUGAUCAUGGCUCAGAUUGAACGCUGGCGGCAGGCCUAACACAUGCAAGUCGAACGGUAACAGGAAACAGCUCGCUGUUUCGCU
rnacentral:rRNA from 1 species